UACGUAGGGGGCAAGCGUUGUCCGGAAUCAUUGGGCGUAAAGAGCGCGUAGGCGGUCCGGUAAGUCAGCUGUGAAAGUCAGGGGCUCAACCCUUGAAAGCCGGUUGAUACUGUCGGGCUAGAGUCCGGAAGAGGCGAGUGGAAUUCCUGGUGUAGCGGUGAAAUGCGCAGAUAUCAGGAGGAACACCGGUGGCGAAGGCGGGUCUCUGGGCCGAAACUGACGCUGAGGAGCGAAAGCGUGGGGAGCAAACAGG
rnacentral:rRNA from 1 species